GAUGAACGCUGGCGGCGUGCCUAAUACAUGCAAGUCGAGCGAACGGACGAGAAGCUUGCUUCUCUGAUGUUAGCGGCGGACGGGUGAGUAACACGUGGAUAACCUACCUAUAAGACUGGGAUAACUUCGGGAAACCGGAGCUAAUACCGGAUAAUAUUUUGAACCGCAUGGUUCAAAAGUGAAAGACGGUCUUGCUGUCACUUAUAGAUGGAUCCGCGCUGCAUUAGCUAGUUGGUAAGGUAACGGCUUACCAAGGCAACGAUGCAUAGCAGACCUGAGAGGGGGAUCGGGCACACUGGGACUGGGGAACGGUCCCAACUCCUACGGGGGGCAGCAGUAGGGAAUCUUCCGCAAUGGGCGAAAGCCUGACGGAGCAACGCCGCGUGAGUGAUGAAGGUCUUCGGAUCGUAAAACUCUGUUAUUAGGGAAGAACAUAUGUGUAAGUAACUGUGCACAUCUUGACGGUACCUAAUCAGAAAGCCACGGCUAACUACGUG
rnacentral:rRNA from 1 species